rnacentral:lncRNA from 1 species
AAGGGAGUCACGUGAGGGGAAGCGCUCUCCAGCAGUGUCAGUCUGGAGCUCGAAACAGCGUUGACAUUUAGCUUCCUACCAAAUGGCAAAUAAUAUUGCAACUGUUUUUGAAAGUCUGAAAGUCGAAAUAGAGUCCCCGUGUUGUUAGUGAUAUUGCUAAUAUUUUAGUGCACCUGUAAGGAAACGGCUGGUAGAAUUGAUUGCAAUAAUGUAUCCUGGGAAAGUUUGGGACAGGAGAGAAGGUGAAAAAAGUUACACACUGAACGCCCAGAAGUCUCCAUCAUCUUCAAGUUACGAUGUCAACAAAUACUGACCUUGCAGAGGGCAGAGCUCUGGCUAAGUAAGGUGGGUGGUAAUGAUAAGAGAUAAUGACACCAGUGUCUGUCCCCCACUAUCACCUUUGAGCUUUUUUGGACUAUCUAGUGGUCGAUACAGAGGAAUGGUAACAGCAGCUGUGUUGAGUUCACCGUUGUAUUGGUUCUAGUUUGUUCUUGGACUCCUAUUAAUUAACCAAAACAGUACUUGUUACAACACUAAUUACUACUGUCACCUUUGUUAGAGAAUAAACUUUACAGGUACCUUGAAGUACAAUGAACAUGAUAAUUCAUGGUACUUUACAGAAAUCAGUGUUGCCCAAACAGCAGUAAUUUGAAUAUUAUUCUCAUUGAUUUCACCAUAUCUUUAUACUCCUUUUAUAUACUUAAUAUUUUUCUUUAAAUCAAAUUACCUUUGAUACUUUAUUUUAAAAGAAAAAUUUGUAUCAUUACUAUAAAUAGAAAAAGCAGAAUGACCUGUCAUAAAUUAAGACAGUAAAAAUAAGUGUAAUUAAUUUUUUAAAAAAUGUGAUUCAAUGCUAACAUCUUACCUGUGAAAGCCUCUGAAUCUCUCUUGAUUGAAAACAUGGAUUAGCAGGCAUUACAGAAGAAUUUAGAAACAUAGCACUAAACAAACAUUUUUCUCCUUGACUUAAUUAGCAGUAUUGAAAUAAAAUUGGAAGAAUUUUCUCUGUAUGAUUCAGUGUUCUGGAUGCCAUGUCUGUCUCACCUAAAGUCAUCUUGGUACCUCCAUUAGUCCCACAUUCUGGGAACACUGCAAUAUCUUAUGGGGUUGAUGCUACAUUCCUAAACCCACGGAUGUGUAUUCCUUAGAAAAAUACUCACUGAGCAUUUGUUGUGUCAGGUACUGGACUUGAUAUGGGAACUCGAAGAAAUUAAGCAAACUGUCUGAAAUCACAUAAUAGGUAAAUGGAAAAAUCUGUAUUUGAAACCAGAGCUCAUCCCCCUGCAAUAUCUUUGACAGCACAAGUUUAUUUAGUUUUCAAUCUGGGGAGAAAGGGAAGGUUGAGUCAAUAAAGUUUCAAAGUGGAGGUAUAUUAUCCUCUGAGCCUGGAAGGAUAAAAAGUUUUACUAUAGUUUAACCAAGCAGAGGGAUUGUGGACAGCAUAAUUGUACCCACUAUGUUCCCAGUACUACUCUACACAACUUUGUUUUUAUCAACUUGUUUGAGCCUUACAGGGCCCUGGAAUGCAGGUAUUCUUGUGACUGUUUUUUACAGACAUCUGAGAAAAAUGUGGCUUUUUAAGAAACUUCCCACAGUUACACAGUUAGUGAUGAAGUGGGCUAUGACCCCGAACAGUCUAACUCCAGAGUCUGCACCCUUAACCAUUCCAUUAAAGUCUGUUGAGCAAGGGAAAGUAAGUAAAAACAUAUGAACUAUUGAAUUCAUGGUCGGUAGAGGGAAAUGGGCAAGACUUGGGACAGUGGCAUUUUGAGGCAAGGACUUCUGAAGAACUCACAUAAUUAAAAUCUGACAUAAAUCAAGAAUCCUCUCCCCCAUGAAUAACUAUAUAAUAGGGAGAUUACAUCCUUAGUAUUACAUCAUUUGGUUACAUUGGAUUGGUUACAUCAAUCCACAACUAUUGUAUUUAUGUAUAUUGUAUACAUGUAUUUUAAAACAUGUUUAAAGGGCUUCUCAGUGUGCUAGGGCUGCAAUAACAAAGUACCACGGACUGGUUGGCUUAAACAAUAGAAAUGCAUUUUCUCAUAGCUCUGGAGUCUAGAAGUCAGAGAUCAAGGUGUCAGCAGGGAUGGUUUCUCCUGAGGCCUCCUCUCUCCUUGGAUAAUAGGUGAUUGUCUUCUCCCUGUUUCUGCAUGGCCUUCCCUCUGUACCUCUUUGUGUCCUUAUCUCCUCUUAUAAGCACACCAGUCAUUUUAGAUUUGGACCAGCCCUAAAAACCUCAUUCUAAAUUACCUCUUUAAAGAUCUUAUCCUCAAAUAGAGUCACAUUCUGAGGUGUACUGGGGUUAGAACAUCAACAUAUGAAUUUGGAGGUGGGGGAGGGGCAAUUUGACCCAUAAUAAAGGGAAUAAUAAAUAAAAUCCUAAUACGUAAAUAAUUCUAGCACCUCUAAAUUUGCUUCAAAGUUACUGUGAAGCAUUUUAACCCUAGCAUACUGUUAAUAAUGUUUAGGAUGACAUCACAGCAGUCCUCACAAGCACAUGCACAACUUUAAAAGCGUAUUUAGGGGACGUUAACAAAGGACCUCCAAUACUGUUAGGCAGCUAAAAUGGUGCCACCGUGUGUCUCCAGUGAAAACUACAGCUUAGAAUUCAUUUUUUAAGUCAGUUUUUAAAAUCUGUGAUAAUUUUUAGAGUUUCAUGUAUUUUCGAAUUAGGGCUUUAUAAAUACUUUCAUAUUACAAAAUAGAAGUUAUUUGAGGAAAAGGGAGAAAAGUGGCAAGAGUUAUGUGUGGAAAAAACAAUUUCAGUCAAGUUGGUGAAGAACUUUGAAAAAGGUCUUGCUAGUUAGCAUUUCACCAUUUUCCUGCCCAGAAGCUAUUGUACUGUAUGCAAGGAAAUAACACAUCAGGUUUUUGUUUUCAGAAGCCUAUUGUAACAAUGGUGUGUAAGUAGACUGAAGAGGAAAGCAAAUGAAGUGAUGAGAGAGAAAUGGAGACAGAGAGAGGGGAGGCUCCGAUUUUUAUAGUCUAAGUGAGACACGCUAAAGGCCUGAAUGAGUCACUGGCAGAGAACAGGGAUGAAAGAGUAAUUGGUGGGUAUUUUGGAGACAGAAUUAACAGGGUUAAUUUGAUGUAGAAAGAGGUAGGAGUCCAGGAUGACUUCACAUUUUCUAGCUUUGGUAUAUUGGAAAAUGAAUUGAUGUUUACUAGAAUGUGACACUUAGAUAUUCAGUAUCUAACAGGUGCUUGGGAAAAAAGUUCAGGGCUAGAAUUUUGCAAACCAUACAUAAAAAGAUGAUGACAACCACUGUGGGAGUUUUUGAAGUCAGAGGGUAGUAAAUAAACUAGUUGAGAAAAUAAGUUGACACACUAGGAUACUCUUUUGUUAAAUGAGAGAAACAGUUCACAGUCAUGGAAUAGUAUGUGAGGUGUGCAUUUACAUUUUUUUUAGAAAUUCCGGUAAGUAUCCAAAAGCACAGUAUUAAUUCAGGGUUGCAAAAAUGAAAUACAUGUGGUUAUGGUACUGAAAGGAUUCACCAUCAAGGGAAGAAAGUCAUUAUAUGAAAGAUAAUUGUAUUACAAUAUUGUAAUUGCUAUGAUAGAAAUGUGGAUAGGUUGUUACAGGAGAACGAAGGGAGGCACCUUUCAUAGUCAGGGAGUGGAGGUCUCAGAAAAGUCUUCAUGUGAAAGUGAAUUUAUACACACUUAUAAGGACUUAGUAUGUGCCACAUAUUCCUCUAAGAAUUUUAUAAAUACUCUCUCAAUUAAUCUUCAAUACAACUCUAUAAUCAGUAUUAUAUCCCCUAUAUUAGAGAUGGGGAAACUGAGGCUUUAGCAGGUUAAAUAGUUUGUUUGAAUCCACAUACAUAGUAUGUAACAAAGGGACAUUCAAACACUACUCUGAUAGAUUUGAAAAUCAUUCCAUCAGCCACAAAAUUAUGCCACCUAAGUUGGUGUUCCAAUCUUAGCUAGGCUGAUAAUUCAAAGUGGAGCGUGGCAUUCCAGAUCCUAUGUGAGGAAAGGCAUGAUACAUGUAGGAAACUUCUAGCACUUCUAGGUUGCAGGAGUUUAGAAUUCAGAAAGAGAUGAAGCUUGAAAAGAAAUCAGAAGCCAGACCAUGGAAGGAGGAGUGUGGCCUUCAUGUUGUAGGUGGUUACAGCCACUGCUGGUUUGGAAAGGUUUUAGGCAAGGGGAGUAACAUGGCUAGAUAGUGUUUCAUGUAGGUCAAUCUGACAGCUGCUUGAAGGCAGGUUAGAAGUUAGGUUUGAGAGAUAAAUGAUGAUGGCUUAUUAGGGCAGUGGUAGGGUAGGGAUGGAGAAGAAAUAAAUUUGACUAAAAGAUAAAAUUGGCCUGCCUUGAAAAGAGAAUUGAAUAUGAAAAAGGCAACUUUUAGAACACCAAAGUAAAAAAAAAAAAAAAAAAAUUUCCUAUUUCACACUUGAAGUGUAUCAACUGGCCUGUGGUUUUCAUUCAUCACAGAUAUCAUCUAUUGGUUUAGAACAUUCAGAAUACAAGGGAAGAGGCACCAUUUUGUUUUGUUUUGCCCCAGUGAGACUCUUGUGACUGCCUUUACAAUUCAACUACUUCAUGGUGUAUUAGUCUUUAUGAUUUAAAAAAAAAAAAAAGUUGGGAGUGGGGCGCCUGGGUGGCUCAGUCGGUUAAGCAUCCAACUCUUGAUUUCAGCUCAAGUCGUGGUCUCACAGUUCAUGGGUUUGAGCCCCACGUACCACUCCAUGUUGACAGUGCAGAGCUUGCUUGGGAUUCUUUCUUGCUCUCUCUCUGCCCUCCCUCCCCUGCUUGCACUCUCUCUCCCAAAAUAAAUAAACUUAUAAGAGAAAAAAAAAAAAACACCUUAAAAGCAAAUCUUCUGGUUCACAAAUUCCUCCAUGAAACUUAUUGAUUCAGGGAUUUAGAAAUAACUGAAAUGACUUGUCUUUGGAUUCCUAUAUUUAUUGUUUGGGUAUACAAAAACCUGUUUGAUGACCUAGCCUAAUGUCUUGACCUGCUGGAAUGAUAUAGUACUCAUGCACCAAAUUAUGUCACACAUGAAUAGCCUGGCUGCUGUGUCCUUCAGGCAUGUAGCUUUCAUAACUACAAGGGAAUGCUCAACAAUGGCUGUACUCUUUGGAAUAUCAUAUAUUUGGGAGCACAGAUCUUCACUAGUAAAACUAUGAAAGCUAUGUCUUUUUCCAAAAGCUGUAUCAGUGAACAUUUGUAUUUUACUUAAAGAAAAUACUGAAUUAAACAUUUUAAUCGAUUUUGUUAUAAAAAGUUAAAUUCCUAAAUAAGUAAUUUAUUAUGGAUGUUAAUGUGUAAUUUUUAUCCUCCUAAAAUAUGGGGAGGCAUAAGGUUGGAAGUGCAAGUGUUAUGCCCAGAAUUCCUGAUCUCCAAAGACCACCAGGGAGCCGAGUCCGAUGCAAAAGCAAAGAGCCUUUAUUCGAGCUAGCACGAGCUCAAUCCCCUACCUGCACCGAUGCAGCGGUGGAUGCCGGGGAGAGAGAGCGAGUUUCAAAAGCACAAAGGUUUUAUUGGGGCCUAGGGGCAGUUGGUGAGGUAAUGGCUGUGGCCUCAGCCGAUUAGCUGGGGAAGGGUCGGAGUCCUGUUACGCAGGUCGCCAGGCGUGUUUUGAUCGGGAAGUUUGAAUGGGUGAGCAGGAGGUUACUCAAGAGGAGGAGGCGUGGUCAAGGUGAGGGACACAGAACACGGUGGAGUCGGCCGGCGUAGGCCCGCCGUUUCACAAGCACCAUGCUCAACGUGUGGCUUGAACUCACGACCUUGAAAUUAAGACUCAUGUGCUCUGUGCCCCAAGAUUAGAAGUGUUUAAGAGAGUAUCAGAACCCAAACUGUACAGCAAUAGCUAAGUGAAGGUUAUUGCAGUGUUUCUCCCAGAGAAUGUUCUGUCAUUCUGGUCAGAACCACGUGGCCCUCAAACCUCAGCAGGGUGUUCUCCCAAAGAAAAACUAGGUGCUGACAGUAAAUGAAACAAUGGUGGAUAUUGGUGUUAAUAAAUGUCUCUAUAGGUAUUAAAGGAUUAGUAAACAAUCCUGGAGAGUGCACGUCUACGAGCAAGAAUGCCAAGGAAAAAUAGAUUUUUAUUCCUUAAGGGAAUUAAUUUUUUGUGACUUCAUUUGUCUUUUAGAAAAUCACUUUAGCAUCUGCGUCUUACCUAUGUUAUUUUUUGCUUCUCUGAUUUUCUUUUGUAAAUUAUUAUUUGUACAGUGCUGAUUAUUUUUCCUCUUCUAAUUUCUCUGACUUUUAUCAUUAGUUUUAGAUUCAUUAAACACCUCAUAAAUAUUCAUUUAUUUCAAAGUGCGUUACCAUAGGGAGUAUCAUUCAGUUUUGUGCUUAUUUCUCUUUGGCAGUUAUGGAAUUUUUUUUUAAUCUUUAUUUGUUUAUUUGAGAGAGAGAGGGAGGGAGAGGGAGGGGCAGAGAGAGAGGAGAGAGAGAACCCCAAGCAGGCUCCACACUAUCAGCCCAUGACCCAACUCAAUGCUCAAUCCCAUGAACUGUGAGAUCAUGAUCUGAGCCGUAAUAAAGAGUCAGAUGCUUGAGUGACUGAGCUGAGCCACCGAGGUGCCCCUGUUGUGGAACAUUUUUUUAUUUCUUUCUUGCUCUGAAGGAAAGGAAUUGUCACUUCUAGAGUAACGAAUAUGAAGAAUAAUUACUUUUUUUUUACUAGUUUUAUUUAUUUAUUUAUAUUUGAAUUUACAUCCAAAUUAGUUAGGAUAUAGUGCAACAAUGAUUUCAGGAGUAGAUUCCUUAGUGCCCCUUACCCAUUUAGCCCAUCCCCCCUUGAACAACCCCUCCCAUAACCCUCAGUUUAUUCUCCAUAUUUAUGUGUCUCUUCUGCUUUUUCCCCCUCCCUGUUUUUAUAUUAUUUUUGUUUCCCUUCCCUUAUGUUCAUCUGUUUUGUCUCUUAACGGCCUCAUGUGAGUGAAGUCAUAUGAUUUUUGUCUUUCUCUGACUAAUUUCACUUAGCAUAAUACCCUCCAGUUCCAUCCACAUAGUUGCAAAUGGCAAGAUUUCAUUCUUUUUGAUUGCCAAGUAAUACUCCAUUGUGUAUAUAUAUAUAUAUAUAUACCACAUCUUUAUGCAUUCAUCCAGCGAUGGACAUUUGAGCUCUUUCCAUACUUUGGCUAUUGUUGAUAGUUCUGCUAUAAACAUGGGGGUGCAUGUGUCCCUUCGAAAUAGCACACCUGUAUCCUUUCGAUAAAUGCCUAGUAAUGCAAUUGCUGGGUCAUAGGGUAGUUCUAUUUUUAGUUUUUUGAGGAACCUCCAUACUGUUUUCCAGAGUGGCUGCACCAGCUUGCAUCCCCACUAACAAUGCAAAAGAGAUCCUCUUUUUCACAUCCUCACCAACAUCUGUUGUUGCCUGAGUUGUUAAUGUGAGCCACUCUGACAGGUGUAAGGUGGUAACUCACUGAUGAUGAGUGAUGUUGAGCAUUUUUUUAUGUGUCAGUUGGCCAUCUGGAUGUCUUCUUUGGAGAAAUGUCUAUUCAUGUCUUUUGCCCAUUUCUUCACUGGAUUCUUUGUUUUUUGGGUGUUGAGUUUGAUAAGUUCUUUAUAGAUUUAGGAUACUAACCCUUUAUCUGAUAUGUCAUUUGCAAAUAUCUUCUCCCAUUCUGUCGGUUGCCUUUUAGUUUUUCUGAUUGUUUCCUUCACUGUGCAGAAGCUUUUUAUUUUGAUGAGGUCCCAGUAGUUCAUUUUUGCUUUUGUUUCCCUUGCCUCUGGAGACAUGUUGAAUAAGAAGUUGCUGCGGCCAAGAUCGAAGAGGUUUUUGCCCGCUUUCUCCUCGAGGAUGUUGAUGGCUUCCUGUCUUACAUUGAGGUCUUUCAUCCAUUUUGAGUUUAUUUUUGUGUAUGGUGUAAGAAAGUGGUCCAGGUUCAUUCUUCUGCAUGUUCCUGUCCAGUUUUCCCAGCACCACUUGCUGAAGAGACUGUCUUUAUUCCGUUGGAUAUUCUUUUCUGCUUGGUCAAAGAUUAGUUAGCCAUAUGUUUGUGGGUCCGUUUCUGGGUUCUCUAUUCUGUUCCAUUGAUCUGAGUGUCUGUUCUUGUGCCGGAACCAUACUGUCUUGAUGAUUACAGCUUUGUAGUAUACCUUGAAGUCUGGGGUUGUGAUGCCUCCUGCUUUUGAUUUUCAAGAUUGGUUUGGCUAUUUGGGGUCUUUUCUGGUUCCAUACAAAUUUUAGGAUUAUUUGUUCUGGCUCUGUGAAGAAUGCUGGUGUUAUUUUGAUAGCGAUUGUGUUGAAUAUGUAGAUUGCUUUGGGUAGUAUUGACAUUUUAACAAUAUUUGUUCUUCCUAUCCAGGAGCAUGGAAUCUCUUUCCAUCUUUUUGUGUCUUCUUCAAUUUCUUUCAUAAGCUUUCUAUAGUUUUCAGUGUAUAGAUUUUUCACCUCUUUGGUUAGAUUUAUUCCUAGGUAUUUUAUGGUUUUUUGUGUGAGGAAUAAAUACUUUUAAAGUUGAACUAGGAAUAUGAAAAAAACAAGUGUCCAAAAAAAAAAAAAAAGCCUAGAGGCUCUACUCGAAAGAGUCUCUGUGGAUUGCAGAGGAUUUAAGUUUGCAAUAAAAUGUGUGAGCAGAAAUUGUUGGCACAUUCAGGCUGUACAUCCAACAACUUUGCAUUAAAGAUUAUAGUCUCUUUUUUUUAAAUUUUUUUUUUCAACGUUUAUUUAUUUUUGGGACAGAGAGAGACAGAGCAUGAACGGGGGAGGGGCAGAGAGAGAGGGAGACACAGAAUGGGAAACAGGCUCCAGGCUCUGAGCCGUCAGCCCAGAGCCCGACGCGGGGCUCGAACUCACGGACCGCGAGAUCGUGACCUGGCUGAAGUCGGACGCUUAACCGACUGCGCCACCCAGGCGCCCCAAAGAUUAUAGUCUCUUAUCAGAAGCUUCUGGAGUGGCCACAUCAAGAAUGCAGCAUCUUUUUAGAUGCACUUAUUUGCAAUAUUUUAGUAGUUAUGGGAGGUGUUUUUAUACAUCAUCAUAUAAUCCAAAAACUUCAUUUUAUUGAUAAAAAAAUGGAGAUCCAGGGAAGCUAAGUAAAUUGCCUGAGGUCAAAUGGGGGAAGAAGCCAUCUUACAUUAUUGUAUGUAUGCCUGUGUGUCUGAAGGAAAUGAUGACUAGGGAAAUCUCUGAGACAAAACUCUGUGGUGGUCUUAGUGAAGGAAUUUGAUACUGUCCUUCCCUCUAGAAAAAGGUGAGUUGUAGGUCCUCUGCUAUCAUGUAGGUUUUGUUGGAUGAAUCUCAUAUCUCCCAUUUCCCUUCUUCAUCAUAACAGAUGAUUUAGGGAGAAAUAGCAUGAGUGUCUGACAUCUAGAAGACACAUUAUAGUAGAUACUGUUUUGCCUUGCCAGAUGAAUUAUAUGACUUUCUUAGAAAAGGAGAGUUUCAUAAAAUUGGCAUGAUUUUUAUGAAGAUGAGUUUUGUUCAUUUAAUUAGUUGUUUUUUGUUUUUUUAAAGAACUUACAUAAAAGCAGUUUUACUGAAAAGGAUCUUUUAUUAUCUAUUGUUACAGAGCAACACACAUUCAUUAUCUCAUAGUUUCUGGGUCAAGAAACCUCACAUGGCUUAUUUGGGUCCCCUGUUUUCACAGCCUAUGACAAGGCUGCAAUGAAGGUGUUUGAACUAGGAAUCUCAUCUGAACUAGCAUCUCAUCUGAAGUUGCAGCCAGAGAAGGGUCUGUCACCAGGCUCACUCAGUGACUGUUGACAGCAUUCAGAUUGGGUUGACUGAGAUCCUCACUUCUUACCUAUUUACUGGAGCCCUCCCAGUUACAUGCCUCCUGGGCCUCUCCCACAAUGCAGCUCAUAUCAUCAAAGUGUGCAAGCCAUGCAGACAAUAGAGUCUCCCAACAAGACAGAAGUCAUAAUCAUUUGUAACUUAAUCGUGGCCAUUACACCCCAUGACCAUUGUCAUGUUUUACUGAUUAGAACCAAGCUACUUGUCCAGAUUACACUCAAGGAAAGGUAUUAUACAAAACAUGAACACCAGGAUGCUGGUAUCAAUCAGGACCAUAUAAGAUGCUUCCUACAACAACUGUAAAGCAACCUUUCCAAUAAGAUCUCUCAAUAUCACUAUUAUUCUGUGAGAACUAUAGUAUGAUAUCCACAGCCUAAAAUUCAAAGCUUUAACAGUUGCUUGGCAGGAUAUUUCCAUAUAAAAACACUGUCCUGCAACCCUUGGAGAUCACUGGUCUUUAAUGUGUUCAUAGUUUUGCUUUUUCUAAAUAUCAUAUGGUUGGAAUUAUAGAGUAUAUAACCUUUCCAGAUUAGCUUCUUUCACCACGUAAUAUAUAUUUAAGUUUCCUGCAUAUCUUUUCAUGACUUGAUAACUCCUUUCUCUUUAGUGCUGCAUAUUUCAUUGUAUGGAUGUAUCACAGUUUAUUUAUCCAUUUGCCUACUGAAGAACCUGUUGGUUGCUUCCAAGUUUUGGCAGUUAAGUUGCUAUAAACAAUGUGUAGCUUUGUUAUAGACAUACAUUUUUCAAUUCCUUUGUGUAAAUGCCAAGGAGUGUGAUACGUCUAUUUCUUAAUAGAAAUGUUUGUCAUUAAUAUUUGCUAAGCAAUUAAUUUAUAACUAUGUUAUGCUAAUUACUGUGAGCUAUUACUGUUUCUAACUUCAUGUAUAUAGGAACAUAUAUGUAAAACAUAUAUAACACUGUAAUAUAUGUAUUUAACUAAAACGAACUCAUGUAAGUUCUAAAGGCUAUUACAUGAUUUGAGGAAUAUAUGUAAAAUGGUCAGUCCUGAAAAUCAAUUCUGCCAAAUGAAUUUGAGAGUAUAUUUCUUUUUUUAAAUGUUUGUUUAUUUAUUUAUUUAUUUAUUUAUUUAUUUAGAGACAAUGAGUGGGGGAGGGGCAGAAAGAGGAAGAGAAUCUUAAGCAGGCUCCACACUCAGCAUGGAGCCUGACACGGGUCUUGAUCCCAUGACUCUGGGAUCUUGACCUGAGCCAAAAUCAAGAAUCAACUGCUCAACCAACUGAGCCACCCAGGUGCCAUCUUCCUCACUAAUUUACUACCCUAAGCCCAGACUUCUUUGUCUCAUCAAUUCUUCACAAAUUUAUUUUUUUUUUGGCUUAUGUCAAUUUAAUUAUUAGACCAACCAAAGCAUCUGGAAGGAAGAAGAGAAUUUUCUGCCCCUAUACCAAUUCCACACACCAAAUCAUGUUCUACUUAUUUAUUGCUGUAUUACAAACCACUCCAAAAUGUAGUGGCUUAAAAUAAGAACCAUUCCUUUUGCUUAUCUAUCUGCAGUUUGGGCAGGACUUGGCAGGGAUGAGUUCUUUCUGUUUCCUGAUAACUGUGGCCUCAACUGGGACGACUAGAAAAGCUGGAGACUUAAAAUGCCCAACAUCUCUUUUUCUUUUGGUUACAGGACCUCUCCAUGUGGUGUCCUCACACAGCCUCUCCAGCAUGACAGCCUCAGGAUAGCUGGUCUUAUUAUAUGGCAAGUAGUCCAAGAACGAGUGUUGCAAGAGACCCGAGCAGAAGCUGAAUAGCUUCUUCUUUAUUACCCAACUCUGAGAAUCUGAGAACACCACUUCUACCACAUUUUAUUGGUUAAGCAAGUCACUAAGGCCA